UCUGAGUGCUCUCUCUGCAGGUGUCUGAAGGCCAGGAUGGUCUCCCCAUGGCAGCUCCUCUGGCUGCUGGUGCUCUGGGCUCAGGAUUCCCGAGGAGCCAUUGUGCUGACCCAGUCUCCAGCCUCCUUGUCUGGGUCUCCAGGAGAGAGGGUCACCAUCAGCUGCAAGUUCAGUCAGAGUGUAACAAAUUAUGGUUAUGACUGGUUAAAUUGGUACCAGCAGAAACCUGGCCAAGCCCCCAGGCUCCUCAUCUACAGGGCUAACAGGCUAGAAUCUGGAGUCCCUGCCCGGUUCAGUGGCAGUGGGUCUGGGACAGAUUUCACUCUCACCAUCAGCAGCUUGGAGCCUGAGGAUGCUGGAGAUUAUUACUGUCAGCAGCAUAAUUAUUUGCCUACCACAGUGCUUCAGCCCUGA